rnacentral:rRNA from 1 species
GUAGGUGGCAAGCGUUGUCCGGAAUUAUUGGGCGUAAAGCGCGCGCAGGCGGUUCCUUAAGUCUGAUGUGAAAGCCCCCGGCUCAACCGGGGAGGGUCAUUGGAAACUGGGGAACUUGAGUGCAGAAGAGGAGAGCGGAAUUCCACGUGUAGCGGUGAAAUGCGUAGAGAUGUGGAGGAACACCAGUGGCGAAGGCGGCUCUCUGGUCUGUAACUGACGCUGAGGCGCGAAAGCGUGGGGAGCGAACAGGAUUAGAUACCCUGGUAGUCCACGCCGUAAACGAUGAGUGCUAAGUGUUAGAGGGUUUCCGCCCUUUAGUGCUGCAGCAAACGCAUUAAGCACUCCGCCUGGGGAGUACGGCCGCAAGGCUG